rnacentral:rRNA from 1 species
ACGAACGCUGGCGGGAUGCUUAACACAUGCAAGUCGAACGGGCAUAGCAAUAUGUCAGUGGCAAACGGGUGAGGAAUAUAGAGGAAUCUCCCUAGCAGUAAGGAAUAACUCUGAGAAAUCAGAGCUAAUGCCAUAUAUCACCCUUCGGGGGAAAGAUUUAUCGCUGUUAGAUGAGCCUCUAUCGGAUUAGCUAGUUGGUGAGGUAAUGGCUCACCAAGGCAAUGAUCCGUAGCUGGUCUGAGAGGAUGAUCAGCCACACUGGAACUGAGACACGGUCCAGACUCCUACGGGAGGCAGCAGUGGGGAAUAUUGGACAAUGGGCGCAAGCCUGAUCCAGCAAUGCCGCGUGGGUGAUGAAGGUCUUCGGAUUGUAAAGCCCUUUUAGUGAGGAAGAGAAUGACGGUACUCACAGAGAACGCACCGGCAAACUUCGU